CAAAGGAAGUGGAACUGGCCUCGUUUUCACACUCCGAAAACAAAUAUGGCUGCUGCCUCUCAAAAGAAGGAAGGACGAUAAGGAUUAUUUCAGUUGUCAGUUGGAAAAUGUAACUACUGGAUUGGAAAACGAGCAGGUGCUGCCCCCCCUACUGAGGGAUAGCCAGCCUUCCUCCCCCAAGACCAACAUGGACACGAUGGCAGAGUAACGUGUAGCAGGUCUUCUGCCAUACUGCCCAUCUUACCACCACCAGUCCAUCACCAUGGAAACCAGAUGAAGAUGCUGGAAUAUACCUGUGAUAUCUAGGAUCCCUUCACAUUUUUCCCAAGUGGAAAGACGACCUGAUACCACCUAUCAGACCUGUGAUCCAAUCACCGCUUCCAUAUAAGGGAACUCUGAUUUCUAUCUGAACAAAUCUACUUCUGCUGUUGCUGGUGUCUCCAUUCACAGCAGUCAAUCUAAGAAGAAAAUUUUUUGUUGAAUAUAUUGGCGGUCUAGUUUUCAAUUAUUUCAACACAUAUGUUGCAAUCGUAGAAGUGAUGUUUUUGGACGGUGACGUUCAUAACUGUGUUGAAACUAAGCUGGUGCGUGUGAUGUUAUAACGCUGCAGCUGGCUUUGCAUAUCUGUGAUUUCUGAAGUGUGGUAGCAGACGACAGUUUACGAUGAGGAUCUACCCGCGCCGCGUCUUCCGAUCCAUCCUCAUGGUGGCCAUGUUGCUUUUCGUCAUGCUCAAUUUGCAUAUCCUGAUGACGUCACAACCAGAUGGCAUCGGGGAAUACGACCAUCAGAUCAUCCUUCAAGGUCACCACCGUAGUUUAGGUGAAAUGCACGUGCAAUUUGGAGAACCCGUAGGUUACCCGUAUUCCAAUCUACCCCAGUCUACACGAGCAAAACUCGUCAUUCCACCCAAAUCGGGGGACUACAACAAUGCUACUAUUUCAAUCAAUCGCAAUAUAGACACAGCAAAUAUCAGCCUUAUCAAGGCUGAAAUAGCCAAAAUUAACAAGGCCCAAAAGAUUCAUAAUUUGGAUCGUUUCGGUUUGAAGUUGGACGCAGAGAGUGUUGUCAUUGUUGUGCAGGUGCAUGAUCGCCAUGACUACCUCAGGAUAUUAUUAGACUCAUUGAAGAAAGUGCGUAAUAUACACAAGACGUUGUUGAUCAUCAGCCACGAUGUGUAUGCGGAGGAGCUGAAUGAGUUGGUGGAGAGUAUAGACUUUGUCCCAGUCAUGCAGAUAUUCUUUCCCUUUUCUCAACAAAUAUAUCAAACUGGGUUUCCGUCAGAGCAUCCAAACGACUGUCCCAGAGACAUUAAAAAGGACCAAGCUUUAAAACGCAACUGUAAUAAUGCUGCCCACCCAGACAAGUACGGCCAUUACCGGGAAGCCAAGUACUGCCAGGCCAAACACCACUGGAUGUGGAAGCUUCACCACGUGUUUGAGGACCUGGAUGUGAUGAAGGACUACGAGGGGAUGGUGCUGCUGCUGGAGGAUGACUACUACGUCACAGAGGACGUCCUCACCAUCCUGCAGAUGAUGCAGAACCUUGCUCACAAGGACUGUAAAGACUGCCGUAUGCUGGUCAUCGGCAACUACGACAAGGUGCAGAACUACCAGGCCAACUCCGGCAAAGUUGAGAGGGCCUACUGGAUUUCCUCCAAACACAACAUGGGGAUGGUCUUCACCAGGGUGUUGUGGAAUGAAAUCAAGAAAUGCUUUAGGGAGUUCUGUCUCCAUGAUGACUACAACUGGGACUGGACUAUCCAGCAUCUCAGCAUGAAGUGUAUUCCCAACAAGAUCCGGACCAUCAAGAUGAAAGCAAGUCGGAUCUUCCACAUCGGUGAAUGUGGGAUGCACAUGAAGGGCAAGAGCUGCAAUCCUGGGGGCAAGCUGAAGAAAGUAGAGGAGCUAAUUGCUAAAAACAAACAGUUUCUGUUUCCUAAUGUGCUAUCAGUGGCAGGGGACUCCCGUUUCAAACUAAGAGACCCCAAAGCUAAUGGUGGAUGGGGUGAUCAAAGGGACCAUGAAAUGUGCCUGAGUUUCUUGUACAGAAACACCACACUUAGGUGAUAGUUGGAGCAGACGUCACAGUCGGCCAUCUUGGAUUUCAGAAGCUGGACUCCCGAGAAGGAAGGACAUAUACUUUGAACAAUUGUAUUUACAAGAUUGACAAUAACAUUGUUCCAUUUCAAAUAAUAUGAUUAUCACCCGGUAAUGUGGUGAAUGUUUCAUCCGAAUAUUUUGUCAUCUUAAUGUACGAGGUUGUGUCACAGGACAAGCCAGAUUUUGUGGGGCUUUCUCUCCAGAUGAUGUGGAUUAAUUUAUCAUGAGAUCUUUUCAAGUUAACGAAGUCAUCUUGUUCCGGAGAGAAUGAUCAAAUCAUUUGUGUUGAAAUGGUAGCAACCCUCAGUAUUUUUCUAGAAGCAUGUGUAAGCUUGUCAUGCAUCCGUAUGCCUGGUAGUAUUACUUGUUCUUUCAUCACAAAUGCAAUAUUUUCUGAUGGAAUAGAAGACUUGUUUGUUAAGGCCGACCAUGUCAUAUUCUGGGAGGGGGACUGGGAUAUUAAUAAUUCCAGAAUAUUCUGUCAAUAUUAAUUUUGCUUCCAGUUUAACACUGGACAUGAUCAACGUCCUGAAGAAAAGUGUCUAGCUUCUCCUUUUUGAAGGAAAAGAAUCAGAGUCUUGAAACAGUGACUGAAAUUGCUACCAACAAUUUCCCCCCCACACACACAUACUCCCCCCACACACACCCUCCCUUCCUCCACUGUUUAGUACUUGGUCGGUCCUUGACCUGCAAUGGCUGUGUACAUGUAAAUGGACAACUGUGAAAGUUUUGUUUUAGCUGCUUCAUAAUGCAUUUGUUUCAAGCUGUCAGCAAUGGAAACAAGAAGUCCUAAUUUGCUUGAAGCCAAAAUGUUUUUAUCUGUGAUGAGAUGUUGAGAAGAUUUUCAUUGCUUAUCUAACAUUGUAUAAACCAAAAUGUUUUUUCCCCAAAGCUGUAACCUUAACAGAUCCAAGUGUUACUAAUCAUGCCCUUGUCUCCGAGAAUUAUUAUUCCAUUCAGUUACAUUGUGGAUAUGGCAGACAUAAUUCCUCUGACCUUAAACCUAAGUUCUUUAUAAUAUCUUAACUGUUCUAAAUUACUUAGUCUGUCAUCAAAACCCUGAAACAAAUAUAUCUACCGGUAAUACAGCUAUUGAAGUCUGUAAUAGUUGGCAAAUAUAGAUUACUCCAGUUUGAAAUGAAGAGAGUCUCUGGGCUCCUUUUUAUUAUAUUUUUUUAAGAUAAUUUAACUUUUUUUUCUGUUAAAUAUUUUCAUUUCUGAAAAUAGAUGUUAGUCUGUAAAUAUGUAUGUUUCGAGAGCUACUUUAUAUUUUAAAGGUAUCCUCAUGCUGUUGGCUGAUCUCUGUGAUCCUAGAGGACGUACAGCUAGUGCUCAAUGAGACAGUAUUUGGACAAUGACUAGUCACACUCUUUGUCAGGAACAAUCCAAGAAGUCUGAAGUUCAUAGUUUCAUACAUUGCUUCACAAUUCAAAUUUCCUGGGAUGAAAUAUACAUUGUGUUUGCCAACUGUGUAAUACGAGCUAUUUACGAGAUAUUUGGACAUGUUAUUAAGAGUUCCAGAAAUUUCUGAAUGAACAGCUUUACUGAUCGAUCUUGACCCAUACGUUUCAGUGAUAAUGACAUGCCAUGAUAGUUUAGCAUCAGCCAGGCUCAUUGCAUCACUCACAAUCUGCAUCAUAUUUUUGUGGUUUAUUUGAGAUAAUGUUUUCUAAGCGUACUUCAAAUUGGUGAGCGAUAGUCUUGUGAGAAAAAUCAACAUGGACAUGUUACAGUAACAUCGAGUAAUACUAAUAGCAGCUUGCAACACUUCAGUGGUGGCCAUGUUGUUCCUCAAAGGGUCACCACUCCUUCUAUCUCACAAACUGGAGAUUUUUCAGAUUAUUGAACAGGAUUUGGAGUUCAAUCCCAGCUUUGAUGAAAAUGUUAUGUUUACAUCUAUUGCUUUUGAUUAAGAGUCUAAAACAGUGGCAGUGACAAAACAUAAAUGAUAAAUGUUGCUAUUAACCACACUCAGGUCAAAACAUGAUCUUUCUGUAAAACUUUAUAUUUUUCAGGGUAACGUACAUUCUGAUAUUCUUUGGAAAAUGCAAUCUUUGUAUUAACCCUAUUCUUUGCCCUCAUGUAUGUUAUACAUGUUAUUAUUUUAAUAUAUUAUUAUCGUGCACCAGUGUAUUGUUUCCAUCAUCCGGACGGCAUUGUUGACAUCAUUGGAAUUUUAUUGUGACGAAUGAUGUCAGACUAGAAACAAUGUCAAAGUUGAAGAUUGUUGACUGAUUUUACGAAACCUUGUGUAAGAAUUCAUGUUUUACCCUCUCUCUCCCACGGGAAAUACAAGAAUUCUGACACUCGUUUCAUAAAAUCAGUAUGACACACAUGAUCGUAUAAUAAUCUCUAUCCAGACGUCGUAGUUGAUAUCAUGGGUGGAACGUUGACAUUGUCUCUGUGUUAUGUGGGUAAUCAUUGACUGCUGAAUUGGAAGACAAACUAACUUGGAGACGAAGAACAUGUUCGAGGGCUGUGAAUCUGAUUUGUUUGUCUGCCCAUUAGCCAAGCAUUGUCCCCUCUAAACAGUGGUUGUUGACAGGUGGGACAGCCAAUGAUUCCCAGACAGAAGAGCCCAAUAUGGUAAUGAGUGAGAUGAUGUUCACACCUCGGCUAUUAUUUCUUCUUGUAUUUACAGCAGGGGAAGCAGGAGAUAAUCUCAUAACUUAUAGUUUAUGUUUUUGUGUCAUGUUGUGCCAUGUUGUAAACUGUACUUGAGUCUUAUGUUGGGACCUUACCUUUAUUCUACAGGUAAUGUUGGCUUACCUUGAUUCUACAGGUAGAUGUUAGCUUACCUAGAUUCUAAAGGUAAUCUUAGCUUAACUUGAUUCUACAGGUAAUGUUGGCUUACCUUGAUUCUACAGGUAGAUGUUAGCUUACCUAGAUUCUACAGGUAAUGUUGGCUUACCUUGAUUCUACAGGUAAUGUUAGCUUACCUUGAUUCUACAGGUAGAUGUUAGCUUACCUUGAUUCUACAGGUAAUGUUGGCUUACCUUGAUUCUACAGGUAGAUGUUAGCUUACCUUGAUUCUACAGGUAAUGUUGGCUUACCUUGAUUCUACAGGUAAUGUUAGCUUACCUUGAUUCUACAGGUAGAUGUUAGCUUACCUUGAUUCUACAGGUAGAUGUUAGCUUACCUUGAUUCUACAGGUAAUGUUGGCUUACCUUGAUUCUACAGGUAGAUGUUAGCUUACCUUGAUUCUACAGGUAAUGUUGGCUUACCUUGAUUCUACAGGUAAUGUUGGCUUACCUUGAUUCUGCAGGUGAUGUUAGCUUACCAUAUUUUCUUGAGUAUAAUGUGCACCCCCCUCUAGCGGAUUCAGUACUUUGAAAAAAAAUAAUUCAAAUAUUAUGCGCAGAAAAAUAAUUACACUGUAUGCCUUCACCAAAUUCUGGUAAAUGAACGGGUGAUGAGAAACUUGGUCAGUACAAAUUUGAAAAUAGAGAUAAAAAAAUCACCAGACAUGUUGAUUUACCGUUUAAGUUGUAUUUUUUGUUCUGCUAGGCAUUGUUUUACAUCCAGGGAUUAAGAAUACCUUGUGAAAUUUCUUGUAAACUAAGCCGGAAACAGCAAUCAGCUGUACACACGUUUUCUUGGAAUCUACCGGUGAUUCGGUCAAGACACACCCAAUGAUAUAACUUUACAUUGUUUUAAUGCAAGGAUCGGGAAAACUGUAUCUGAAACUAUUUUUUUUUUAUCAGGAAUAAUAUCUUGUUAUUUUAGCCGCAGUUUUUACUAAAUAAUGUAUAUUAAAAAUAAUUAUAACCCUAAGCGAAGCAGCUGAUCGCUAUUGCCGGUUAUCAUUUUUCACAUGGAACCAGUUUGACCAGUCACCGUCGAGGCUCCUGUGCACGUGAUCUCGAGAACUACAUGUUGACAUAUAGCGGUAAUCUGUUUGUGGAUGUGGUUAUAACGGUGAGUUGUGCAAUCUUCCGAUCGCUUCACACACGAUUUCGCCGAAAUUAAUUAAAACAAUAUUAAAAGGAAUUUUUAAUAAAAUUUAUGAAAUAAGUUACAAACAUAAGUCCAGGUAUACAAAGAACACUUUUUAUAGCCAGAGUGUGUGAUUACAUGAUUAAUUUGCAUACUUCAGUAUGGAUUUGUUGACAUGGUAUUUCCGGUGUUACGUGCUCACAGGUAAUGUCUUUCCAGGGGGG
rnacentral:misc_RNA from 1 species